UAUACGGAAUGGUUUAAGCCAACAAUGGUAUAUCCCUGGAAUUGGGGAUGGAGUCAGUCUCAUUCAGAUCACAUGGCUGAGAAUAGGAAUGGGUAGUUUCAUAAAGGAAAUCUGAGGGGUUGGUACCAGGAAGUUGGGGAACAAAGGCUGGGCAGCAAACCACUCUCACAGCAGAGCAGGGACACAUCUUCCAUCAUAAUAGGCAGGAGGCUGGGCAGAUGGGUACAGUCACAGAAGGGUCUGUGGGCUGGAGGGCAGGGAUGGUGUGAGAGCUCCUUCCUCGUCAUUUUACUCUGUCAGUAAGACAUGGAUGAGGUCUUGCAUCAGCUAGGAGGGGUCUGGAAACUUCUGAGUCAGGUCUUGUGCAGGGUGCUGGGGAUGAAAGGAUAAACAGGACAACAUCCUUGCUCUCCAGUAGCUACUGAUUUGAUGGGAAAAACCCACAGCCCAAGGGAAUAUAAUGGAAGGAGAGCCCACCUGAGAAUGAAGACAACACAGACAAAAGCACAGCUGAAUGGCAUGUAGAGAUACAGUGCGGGAGCUCCUGGAUGCACUGAUACCUGAAGCAAGACCUAUUCUUGGUCUCUUUUUUUGGUUACCUGAAGCAAACGUUUCCUUUACAAAAAAAUUGAAACCCUUUAGAUCAGAAGAAUCCUGAUGAAUACGGA